AAUCUCAAUCUCCUUCUUCUCAUUGCUAUUUUGGCAGCAACUAGCUGAGCCACGGUAGGUACCUUGGCCUCCAACUCAAAUCAUAUUGCUUGAUUAAAGUUAAAUGAAUAAUCAUCAAGUUGUCAGGACUCUUUGAUCCAACUUCAAGCUUGGACUAGGGAGAUCAUUUUUUUUUCUUCCUCAAUGGUGAGACAACCUUAGGCUUCGGCUGCUGCCAAGUUAUCUCCGCAUGAUUGGUAAACAAUG
rnacentral:misc_RNA from 1 species